rnacentral:rRNA from 1 species
AUGGCGCAGGUGGUGGCGGCAGCGGGCGCGGCGGGAGCGGCCAGGCCGCUCGGCGGCGCAUCUGGGGCCGACUCGCUCCGGCCCGUGGCGAGGCUGCCCUUCGGCCCGCGCGACGCGAGGGAAAGGUGGAGCGGGAGCGUGGCCUCCAGGGGUCGACGUGAGCACCCGGUCGCCUCGGUGAUUAGCGCCGAUGCCGAGGUGAUGCCGGUGUCGGCCGACGACGACGCGGUCGUCAAGGAAGAAGAAAAUUUCCAGCAUCUUAAGGCUGUCCAGCAACUAGCAACAGCAGCCAAUGGUGUGUGGUCUAAACCAAAUGUUAGGCGCAAGACAAAGAUUGUGUGCACAAUUGGUCCCUCAACUAACACGAGAGAGAUGAUCUGGAACCUUGCCGAGGCUGGCAUGAAUGUGGCUCGGCUUAAUAUGUCACAUGGAGACCAUGCAUCACACCAGAAAGUUAUUGACUUGGUGAAGGAGUAUAAUGCUCAAACGAAGGACAACGUGAUUGCGCUUAUGGUUGACACCAAGGGCCCAGAAGUUAGGAGUGGAGAUUUGCCCCAGCCUAUAUUCUUGGAAACUGGCCAGGAAUUCACCUUCACAAUUAAGAGAGGGGUUGGGACUGAGACAUGUGUUAGUGUUAACUAUGAUGACUUUGUUAAUGAUGUAGAAGCCGGUGACAUGCUCCUUGUGGAUGGAGGAAUGAUGUCAUUUCUGGUCAAAUCAAAAACCGAAGAUUCUGUAAAAUGUGAAGUUAUUGAUGGAGGUGAAUUAAAAUCCAGGCGUCACCUGAAUGUCCGUGGCAAGAGUGCAACCUUGCCAUCAAUCACCGAUAAGGACUGGGAUGAUAUUAAGUUUGGAGUGGAAAAUCAGGUUGACUACUAUGCUGUUUCUUUCGUCAAAGAUGCUCAAGUUGUGCAUGAAUUGAAGGAUUAUCUCAGAAGCUCGAAUGCGGAUAUACACGUAAUUGUGAAAAUUGAAAGUGCAGAUUCUAUUCCAAACUUACAUUCAAUCAUUACAGCAUCUGAUGGGGCUAUGGUUGCCAGGGGUGAUUUGGGGGCUGAACUUCCUAUCGAGGAGGUACCAUUGCUGCAGGAAGAAAUUAUUAGAAUGUGCAGAAGCAUGGGAAAAGCUGUCAUUGUCGCCACUAAUAUGCUGGAAAGCAUGAUCGUUCAUCCAACUCCAACCCGUGCAGAAGUUUCAGACAUUGCUAUAGCUGUUCGGGAAGGUGCUGAUGCAGUUAUGCUUUCUGGGGAAACUGCACAUGGAAAAUUUCCCUUGAAAGCUGUCAAGGUCAUGCAUACUGUUGCACUAAGAACUGAAGCAACUAUUAUUGGCGGGGAAACACCGUCUAACCUUGGUCAGGUGUUCAAGAACCACAUGAGCGAAAUGUUUGCCUACCAUUCAACAAUGAUGUCCAAUACACUUGGUACAUCAAUUGUGGUUUUCACAAGGACGGGAUUUAUGUCUAUCCUACUUAGCCAUUACCGGCCAUCUGGCACCAUAUUUGCCUUCACAGAUCAGGAGAUAGUUAGACAACGACUGGCUUUGUACCAAGGUGUAUGUCCAGUUCACAUGGAAUUUUCUGAUUGUGCUGAGAAGACAUUUGCUGAUGCUUUAUCUUACUUGCUGAAGCAUGGUAUGGUGAAGGAAGGUGAGGAGGUUGCACUCGUUCAGAGUGGCAGACAACCCAUCUGGAGGUCGCAGUCCACCCACAAUAUUCAGGUUAGGAAGGUUUGA